rnacentral:lncRNA from 10 species
GCUUGCUGUCAAUAAAUAUGUGGGUAAAUCUCUGUUUGGGGCUCUCAGCUCUGAAGGCUGUGAGACCCGAUUUCCCACUCCACACUCUGUAUUUCUGUGUGAGUGUCUUUAAUUCCUCUGGCGCCGCUGGGUUAGGGUCUCCACGACUGAGCUGAUCUCAGUAUCUACCACAUUCUGCUUUAUUCUCUUCUCUAGGGUAAGAAAAAUCACAAUACAUGGGUAUUCAAUAAAAUUCAAUUAAUUUAAGCCUGACUCUUGAGAAUGUGCAAUUGAAGGUUAUGAAUGUGUCACACCUAAGGUGGUGGUAGAAGUCUCUGGCACAUGGAAAAUGCCUGUUUUAACUUUUAGCUAUUUUUUUCAGGUUUUUGUCAUUAGAAUAUUUCUUCUGUUUCUACUGCAAAUAACUAUCAAAAAGGAAAAGAACAACUAGGAUGGCCUCCCCUGUUUAUCAUUGGCCCUACAAUUUUCUAGGAGUAAUAUCUUUUUGGAAUUAUGUAAUGUCCUCUGCUAAUGACAGUGUAUAGAUGCUAUUACAUUUCCUUGGGGGACAAAGUACUGUUGUCUGGAAGCUUUGAGAUUAAUGUAACACAAAGUAAAUAAGGAAGCGUUUUGCAUAUUCUUAGAUUUUUACAUUUUUAUUUUAAAACAGAGAAUUUCAUAUUGAUUAACACCUACUACUAAACAGAAUGAUGCAUUAAUUAAAUGCCUUGUCCUAACUGUUAUAAGCUCUGUUAGAAAAAUAAACAUCUCACCACAAACUACAGUGUCAGCUCUUUAAUAAAUACAUAAAACAGAAGUUAGUAGUCAAUCAGAGUUAUAUGAACAGGUUCAUAGUAUAUUAUGUGAAAGUAUCAUAUUCUCCAAUAUUCUGUAUCAUUUAAGACAAUUUAAGUUACGUAUAAUUCAAAGCCAGAAAUAAUAAGAAAUAUGUUCAGUGAUAAUUUGCUUCUUUCUUAGAGCUAUUUUAUAUUCAAAUAUUUAAUUUAAAAAUAUAUUCUAUAUUAAAUUUAUUUUUACAAACGCAGUAUUCGUUAGGUGAAACAAAAUAAGUUUUUAUGUUACUGAUAAGUUUAAUACAUUUCUAAUUUUUUUCAGAAGUUCAAGAAACCAUAAUGAAGUAGCUAAUGUAAAAUAGUUUAAAAGCUAUGUUAAAUAUACACAAAAUGAAUUUCUAUAUUAAUAUGUGCAAAUGUAUAUUUUCUUAUAAUUUAGAAUUAAAGUACUUUAUACUCAAUAUUCUUAAUAAAAUUUAUGUACCAUACUUGUCAUUGCGUAGACUUCUUAUCAAAAUUUCACAUUUAUCUGUAGGAAAAUGUAAAGUUGGUAAAAAUUGUUUACACAAAUCACACAUUUUCCAUCCUUGACAAUUGCAGUGUUUUUUUUUUAAAUAUUGCUGUAUUAGACAAUUUUAACUGAAGUAGGUUGUAGAGGCUAGAAGAAACCUGAUUAAUAGAGUUAGCUUACAAAGAUAAAUUUUAUGCAGAAAAGUAUUCCAGGUAGAUAAAAGAGUAGUGUUAUUACUCUCAGGUUUACAUUAACAGCUGCCCAGAUAGCUGAACAAUUAUUUCAUAUAAUUCAAAUAAUUUAAAUAUGCAGUUUUAUAACAGUCGUUACAUAAGCUUGAAGUUAAAGUGAUCAGAGCCAAGGGGGAAAAACCCACAAAUGAUAAAGAAGAAUAAAAAGUAAGAGGACUCUAGAAGAAAGUUGUUUUUCACAGCACUGAUUGUUUUUAUCAUAUUUUUCUCCUGCCAUUGAUACAAGACAUGUAAGAUGCUGCAAAACCUAACUAUGACAGUUCCAUGUAAUAUUUUUCCAGUUAAUUUUGUUUAAAAGUGAGAUGAUAAUAUAAAAGGAUCUCAUAAAUCAUUACACAGGAAGAUAUCAAUUAUUCAAGUAAAAUACAAGCCCUACAAUCUUUAAAAAUUAGCUUUUUAAGUAAAAACAAAAAAGAUAAGCACAAGACUUUGCAAGCAUAACCACAAUCAUCGUCUAACACUGAGUUGCCUACAAGGAAGUUUGUCCCUUCCUAUGGUAACAGCCUUGGUCCACUAUAAAGUUAGUGCAAACAAGUGAGGGUAUAAAAAAAAUAUAAACUCUGGAUUUUUAAGGAUUUCAUUUUGUUAUACUCUUUUUGGAUAAUUCAUUCCAUACGGAAAUUUGUUUAUUGUUCAUAAAUAUCAUAAUGUUCAUUUCAAAAAUUGUCAUCAUCUUAAUGGCUAUCUUACACUUUUUUCUUUUGGAGGGUUGUCAGGCAUCCAUCCAUUUUCCUUUUUAAGAAGAACGUUAUGUGUAUUAGGCUACUAAACCCAAUUUUUACAUUAUUUUUAGUGAUCAAAGGUUUCUUAUACAAGUGACUCACAGUACUGAAUUAUGUCAAUCUCUCAUUUGAGGAAGGAAAUGCAGUUCAAGUUAGCAUUGAAAGUGCUUGGCUGUAGAGGACAUCUAACAGAGCUGCUGUGUUUAUUGGCUCCAGAACAACUUAUUAUAGGUUUUUCAGUUCUCUUUAGGGUAGAAUAUGAGAUGGGGUUAGUCUUCAUCAAAAUGCAGUAUCUAGUACUUUAACUCAAGUGCUGGAAGACAGCAAAUCUUGGAAGUUUAUUAUAAAAAAAAAGAUAUUUCGGAUAGAUUCCUUUGUUGUCAUGGGCAAAACUGUAUAUCCACACAGGACUGUUAGACUCCUAGCCAAUAAAAUCAGACUAAGUCCAUAGGGAUAAGGUAAGUGUAAAUAAAUUUCCAUUGGGGAAGACAGGGCUCAUGGCCCGUGUAUCAAGGUCUCAAGCUGAGCACUGGAGAACUCCAGGGAACACUGUUCAUACAGGCUAUGGUGCGAAGGAAUUCCCCUGUAGGUAUGCCAUACUUCAGUCUCUUAAGAAGCUGAUUAGCAUGAAAGACUGGAAGCUGAUUAUGGACAAUUCAGUUUGAAUUAUUCCUUUCUAUUUUGCUUUGAACUUUCCUCAUACACUUAAGACAUGAGUAAAUCACAUUGAAAAACAUUUGCCAAUUGAAUAUUUUAAAGAUUCAAGAGGUAGCAUGAUAUUGUGCAAUGAACACUGGCCUGACAAUGAGAAGAUAAAAACUCCUUUCCAAUGUGGCCACUUUAUCACUUGAGUGUUUUCUGAGAAAUCGUUUAAGUUUUCUGAGGCUCAGUUCCCUAACUCACUAAAAAGGAGAAUUAGCAGCCUGGCAUGGUGGCUCAUGCCUGUAAUCCCAACACUCUGGGAGGCCGAGGAGGGUAGAUCACCUGAGGUCAGGAGUUUGAGAUCAACCUGUCCAACAUGGCAAAACCCCGUCUCUACUAAAAAUACAAAAAUUAGCUGGGCACGGUGGUGGAUGCCUGUAAUCCCAGCUACUCAGGAGGCUGAGGCAGGAGAACUGCUUGAACCCGGGAGGCAGAGGUUGCAGUGAACCCUAAUUGCGCCAUUGCACUUCAGCCUGGGUGACAAGAGUGAAACUCCGUCUCAAAAAAAAAAAAAAAAAAAAAAAAAGCUUAUUUCUAAGAUAUCAUCUAUUCUCCAAUUUUGUACUUUUAUGAAUUCUGGCAAGAAGGGUUGGAGUGAUUCUGGGAAAGAACAUCCUUAGGCUGCCUUGAAGGGAGAAGAUAAUAUAGCUUUUCAUUUAAAAAAUGCUGAUAUCUACUUGCAAUCAAAAUCUAAGAAAACAUUCAAAAUGUGGUACUUUGCUUGAGGCAGAAUUUCUAACUAUCUUGUGAAUUAAUGAUAAGAUAAAUGAAAUGGCCAAACAAUCCCUUCAGUUUACCAGGUAAGAGGAUACAAAACUCCACACUUGUGCACAAUGAAGCUAUUCAGGUUUUGAUGAUACUUUACAGUGUCCCCUAUUAACAUUCAGCUUUUAAAACUAGUAUUCUGAUAAAGUGACAUUGUAUUAUUAGUUUUUUAUGGCAGUAGUAACUUAGCACUUAAUUAAUCCAGUCAUCUGUGACAUACAUAAACUUAUCCUGUAAAAAAGA